GCCGCAAUAGCUCAGUUGGUAGAGCACAUCAUUCGUAAUGAUGGGGUCGGGGGUUCGAAUCCCUCUUGCGGCA
rfam:Methylocystis bryophila strain S285, complete genome.